rnacentral:rRNA from 1 species
UGGCAGACGGGUGAGUAAUGCGUAGGAAUCUGCCUAUUAGUGGGGGAUAGCUCGGGGAAACUCGAAUUAAUGCCGCAUACACCUUACGAGGGAAAGCUGGGGACCUUCGGGCCUGGCGCUAGUAGAUGAGCCUGCGUCUGAUUAGCUUGUUGGUGGGGUAAAGGCCUACCAAGGUGACGAUCAGUAGCUGGUCUGAGAGGACGAUCAGCCACACUGGAACUGAGACACGGUCCAGACUCCUACGGGAGGCAGCAGUGGGGAAUAUUGGACAAUGGGGGCAACCCUGAUCCAGCAAUGCCAUGUGUGUGAAGAAGGCCUGCGGGUUGUAAAGCACUUUCAGUAGGGAAAAAAGCUUGAGGGUUAAUAGCUUUCAAGUGUGAUGUGAACUACAGAAGAAGCACCGGCCAAUUCCGUGCCAGCAGCCGCGGUAAU